UACAGAGGGGGCUAGCGUUGUUCGGAAUUACUGGGCGUAAAGGGCGCGUAGGCGGCCCGCUAAGUCGAACGUGAAAUCCCCGGGCUCAACCCGGGAACUGCGUCCGAUACUGGCGGGCUUGAAUCCGGGAGAGGGAUGUGGAAUUCCAGGUGUAGCGGUGAAAUGCGUAGAUAUCUGGAGGAACACCGGUGGCGAAGGCGGCAUCCUGGACCGGUAUUGACGCUCAGACCCGAAAGCGUGGGUAGCAAACAGG
rnacentral:rRNA from 1 species